GACUGCACGCAAAGAGCAGAGAGAGAGAGAGAGUAUCAAAACUAGCAAAAAAUGAUGCUAAAAAAAGCUGUCAUCCUUCUUUCUUUGAUCUGCAUUUCGAUUGCUGGUGUUUCUGGUCAAGCACCAGCAACGUCACCAACAGCAACACCAGCACCACCCACACCAACUUCUUCUCCACCGCCAGCAACCACUCCUCCACCAGUUUCAGCCCCACCUCCUGUUACCCAAUCUCCACCUCCAGCUACCCCUCCUCCAGUUUCAGCCCCACCACCUGCCACCCCUCCUCCCGCAACCCCACCACCAGCAACUCCUCCUCCCGCCACCCCACCACCAGCAACCCCACCACCUGCUACUCCUCCACCAGCAACCCCUCCUCCCGCUGUUCCUCCACCAGCUCCAUUGGCAGCUCCACCAGCUCUUGUUCCAGCUCCAGCUCCCAGCAAGCCUAAGUUGAAGUCUCCAGCUCCAUCUCCCCUGGCAUUGAGUCCUCCAUCUCCACCAACUGGCGCUC
rnacentral:lncRNA from 1 species